GAUACGGGAUCUAUUCGGAACGGUCACUUAUAAAGACACUUAGCUUUACAGUUAAAUGUGUGACUCUAUCUGGUAUGUUCGGUGAAAAAUUUAUAGUUUUUUUUCUUUUUAAAUUAUAUUUACGUUAUCUUAUUAUAUAUAUAUUUUGGCUUCCUCCCGAAUUGAUAAUAGGUAUGUCAGAAUUAUUGAUAGAUGUCGUGUCAGAGCGACACAUUCAGUUAGGUAUUCCAAGGACGUAUAUUAGAUACACGUCCCUGGGUAUUCCAGUGACAUCCUGUCAACUAAAAAUUCGUAUUACACAAUUAUAUAAUACAGGUUCAUGCAUGGCCUCUUUAUUGAGGUACCCGGUGUGCACAGGUAACAUUUAUUGAACCAUAUAUUUGUGUCUAACGUUGUUUAUCUUGUGUGUGUUUGAAAUUAUAAUUCCACCUUUUAAUGAAUGAUGUUCUGAUAAUAAUAUUAUCCACUAUUUUUGCUGAUAAUAAGUUUAAAAUAA